GACGAACGCUGGCGGCGUGCUUAACACAUGCAAGUCGAACGGAAAGGCCCUGCUUUUGUGGGGUGCUCGAGUGGCGAACGGGUGAGUAACACGUGAGUAACCUGCCCUUCACUUUGGGAUAACUUCAGGAAACUGGGGCUAAUACCGGAUAGGAGCUCCUGCACCAUGGUGGGGGUUGGAAAGUUUCGGCUGUUGGGGAUGGACUCGCGGCUUAUCGGCUUGUUGGUGGGGUAGUGGCUUACCAAGGCUUUGACGGGUAGCCGGCCUGGGAGGGUGACCGGUCUCAAUGGGACUACGGUACGGCGCAGACUCCUACGGGAGGCAGGGGUGGCGAAUCUUGCACAAUGGGCGGACGCCUGAUGCAGCAACGCCGCGUGCGGGAUGACGGCUUUCGGGUUGUAAACCGCUUUCGCCUGUGACGAAGCGUGAGUGACGGUAAUGGGUAAAGAAGCACCGGCUAACUACGUG
rnacentral:rRNA from 1 species